rnacentral:misc_RNA from 1 species
UGGAUGAGAACAGAAUAGAUGCUUUUAACAGAAUGGUAGCCCAAAAGAAGAAAGUGGCUCGUGCUUUACAACAAAAGAGUGAAGAAGAAAAGCUUCGUGGAAUGCGAGUUGGUGUGGAAAGGCUUGCCUCCAGGGACAAAAGACAGAGAAUGGGGCAAAUGGUAACCCAACUAAGAGCGACCAUUCAAGGUAUACACAAUUUUGAAACAUGACGCAUGCCAGCUAGAUAGCCUAGACG